CCAGGGUAAGAUAAUUGGAAAUAGGAUGGGUAGGCAGCUGAUGAAAUGCUUGGCACUACAUGCACAAAUUUGUGAGUCUGUCAAACUACUUCACUCCGGCAAAAAAGGCUGGCUGAUUUGGUGGGGAUGAGGGGCCUGAUUGAGACUUGAGAGUUGAGAGGUAGUUUUUGGUCUCAGAGAAUCGGAAGUUAGGGAGGACUAUUAUCCAAGUGUAUCAUGCUUUUCAGUUCACUCUUUGUUAAGCUUUUUCAUGGCCCAAUUUGUUUUGUAUGUGUCGCAGUUAUGUUACAUUCUUACUUCACUGUCAUACUGAUCCUGUUCUCCUAUCUCAUCCUGGAAACACUUUGUAUUAUAUCUCAUUAUGGAAUCUCACAUGCCUGUAUCAAAUAGCAUGUAUUGAUUCAUUUUUGUGUUAUGUAGGACCAGGAUAUAGCUGUCAGUGGUAUAAUGAUUGGAUAUCAUCUAGAAAUAUAUGUGCCACCUUUAAUUUUAUUUGUGUUGAACAACUGCGACAUGAAUAGCAUGUAAGUAUUUUUUUUGCUACUCUUUUUUUGUAUUGCAUGUAUGUUAGGUAUUUGAGAUUGCAUUUAUUAAAGUUAAUUUUCUUUAUGUAGGUUCCUCUCCUCAUCAUGGAAUAGGUUUGAAGAAUCUCAAUAAGCUUUGAACCCAAUGAAAAAUGAAGUGAGUCUCAUUUGAUUGACUGCUUUUCUGUUGUAUGAAAUUCGGUACUCACAGGGAUAUUGAUAUAUCAAAUAGUGGGUUUUCCCUAUUCAUAUUCAUAUUUAAUAUGAAUAAAAUUGAUAUUCAACAUUGUCAAUUCGAAUUAACAUCUUCGUAAUUUGUGUGAUGUGAAGACAUCAUAGUUGAAGUUAAUCAUCUCUUUAUAUAAUUGUCUUUUUCAAACAGUAAACCAUAGAAUUCCUCACUUGUCCGAGGGUUCAGCUCCUCUGCUCUGCUGCAGCUUAUAGCUAUAGCUGUUAUGGACAAGCAUCACAAGCUGGCUAGUAGAUAUGAUCCGUUUAUCUAUUUUGGUUAACUAAUAUCUAAUUGUAUCAGUCUUUCUCAAGUUUCUUGCAUGCUAUUCAAAUCCUCAUUUGCUGCCC
rnacentral:lncRNA from 1 species